rnacentral:lncRNA from 1 species
CCCCCACGCAUCCCCUGGAUGGUCCACUCAGGCAUAGGCAACGCCGAUUAUCAACGUCUCAGUUGCCCACAGCAGUGACUAACUCAAGAAUGCAUCCUUGUGCCGGCUUUCUCGCUGUCCCUGCUUCACUUGCCACUGUCCUCCACUUCAAUUCCUGGGAUCCCUUCCUCAGAUGAAGUCUGUAAAAAGUUUUUGCUUCUUGAGAAUACCAGACUAUGCAAACCAUAUUCUAACUGGUGAAACGUGUUGCUUGUCUGAUAUGUCUCCUGUGUCAUCUGGAUACAACCGUUUAAACAGCAUUUUAAUGAGAAAAAUCGCCUAUGGCUGACCUGGAACUGCCUCAAAUGAAUUCGUAGCUGAUAAGAUGCUUGCUUGAAAUGUUCUUUGAAGGACAAAUCCAUUAUUCGUUGCCACUUAUUUCAAGGUUCUUGGAGAAAUUAGCUUAAUUAUUCCUUGCCAAAAUAAAGCAAAUGUUCCUUUUUUGAGAAAGAAGGGGAAGUGCUAUUAUUCACUGGGUUUGAGCAAUUCUUUCAUAAAUCAGCAUACUGAAGUUGGUGGAUUAGACCAUUAGACACCUUUCUCUGAAAGAUAGAUUACAAUAUAUUAAUUCUUCUUCCUCAAUGUAGAGGCAGAAGAAAAAUAUGAGUUUCCUUAAAGGCCGUGUCAAAAUAUUGAGAUAAAAUGUAGAAAUCUCAGUCAUUCAGAGAUGUCCUAAACAUGUCUAAUAUCUCUGUGGCCUCCUAUCUCCUUUCAAAUUGAUGCAGGGUAUAGAUUUUUCCAACUGCAUCCUGAAAUACCAUAUCCGUUAGCAGCCAAGGAAGGAUUAGCAUAACUCAGAAGCACUCAUUUAAAAGAAAAUCAAAAGAAAAAUAAGAAAGAAGAAGAAAGGACAGGGAAAAAUCGGCCAUCCAAAAAUUAAAUCCCUGCACCACUAUUACUAUCUUCUCCAUACAAUUUCUGGGUUCUUUCUCUUAUAGUAACUUAAUGGUCCUCUGUGCUGUUGCUCAGCUCCUCCAGUGGGAAUGUUCCAUCCUCUCAGAGCACAAAUCCUACCAUCUAGCCGAUUCUAGACGUUUUCAUGACAGCCUGUUUACCACCCCAUAAUCGCAAAGGUAAGAGAGGCUAUCACGGCUCCUUCUUAGCUAGUUCAGUUUUCUUUGAAUGAAGUUUACACCAAACAAAUUUUCAUCCAGCCUUGUGAGCAACCAAAGUCUUUCUCGCUUGAAUCAAUUUACCUUUAGGGGUUGGUAAAUGGAAUUUAUUUACCUUUAUUUAGAUUCCCAAUGUUUCAAGAGGGAAUGCUUGUAAAGAACUAACUCUGGAAACCAUCUGAGAGGAACACUCUGUGCACAGCACUUUUCAAAAUAAUAGCAUGGCAGGUUUCCCAAUUCACAGCCACAACAUCCUGUGGAAUCAGCUGAGCUUUUUAAAAAGCUAACCACCAGUUUGAAUUUGAGCAAUUAUUUGGGGGUUCAAGGCAGCAAAGCUUUUGUUCUUAAAAUCCAGAACAGUGGUCUUCCUACAUCAUCAUUCAGAUAGACCUGAAACAAAAGUUUGACCCCCCAAAAAACUGCACUUAUCACAAAAGUGCUUUUUUCCGUCCAUUCUAUUUCAUUUUAACGCUCUUUGUGACUCAUCAAACUGAUUUCAUGAUCCACUAAUUAGUUACAACCCACAAUCUAAAAACCACUUGUCUAGAACAUGGAGAAGUUCUCUGCUGACCUGGAGUCGUUUCAAACACCAUGUUUUAAAGAUUUCACAGCAAUGUUGCACAUUAAACUACCUGAAGAUUAGGAAUCAUUGCUCUAUAGAGAGCAACUGAUAAGAAAACCUACAGUUUUCUUUAUUGAAAUACACUUUUGAAAACAAUCUCACCUGGCAAAGUUAUUUUACAUAAUAUAAAUGUAGCAGUAAGUAGGCUGUUUAUCAGUUUGCCAUACUCAGUACAGGGUGAUCUAUGAAGUACUUUGCAAUCUGUUUUUUCCACUUGAGCAACAGAAUUCUUAACAGCCAGGAGACCCGAGCAGCUGAGCCUCAGGCAAGAACACAGUGUCAGAUCAGGGCUAUGAUAGAGCCACUUUGGUCUCACCGACCUUUCCCCUAGUGAGCUCUAUUUCCAUGAACAGAAACUAGAUGCCUGGGAGCUGAGGCAUGGAAAGUUAGUUCUGCUCCAGCAGCAGUGACCCUUCACCUACUAAACUUCCCCUUGUUGACUGCAGCCAGGCAGUCCCGCCCAGGCUGUGGGUGUGGGACUGACCUUUCACCCACUUAGACUACUCCAGAGAGCCCCAGCAUCUGCUUAGCUUCCGCAGGCCAGCUGCUUCUUCCUUCCAACACAAUGUUGGUAAAAACUGUGCAUAGCAGAAAGUAACUUUGUUUUUUUCCUAGGGCACUAAUUUAUAGGUUUCAUUUCUUAUUUUAAAAUAAAAAUAAACAAUCCCUCUUUGCUCCAUUACACAGUGCAUUUUGAGAAGCCUAUUUGAAAGAAGAGGUGAGAGAACCCUAGUGUGCAAGGGGUGGAAUAAAGAACAAAAAAGAGGACCGUUAACCCUUCCUGUUUGUACUUCCUCUUGAAAUUCUGCACUGACUGUUGAAACACGGUCAGGCAGGCCUGCUUUCCUCAAUUAAGAACACAACCAUGUUGCCCAAACUCAGCAUUUGUCAGGCCUUCGAGUUAUUUUCAAAAUGGGAAACUAAAGGGGAAAAGAAGUGUGUGUCUGUGUGAUUAUUAUUAAAUUUGCAGACAGUCUAGUUUUCUCUCUGGCAAAGUCUAACUGAUGCUCAAGAGGACAUCAGGUAAAAUCAAUUUUGUUCAAGAAACAAACGGUUGAGUUUCCAGCAUCUGUUUAGUUUGUUUUAGCACUCAACUGUUUCACACAGUUGCCUGGUUUUGGCCAACAAGGCAAAUAGGUAUUCUUCUAAAGUUUCAGAAAGGCAAUUAAAAAAAAAAAUCUUAUGCUUUCAAUGGCCAGAAGACUGUGACAAGGAUUUCUGUUUAAACUGAGAUUUAGAGAACCCAUGUUUCCUACCAGCUAUAUGACUCUGGUGACUUAACUCUUCUGCCUGUUUUUCCUCUGCAAGUGAAAAUGUUGGAUUAAAUGAAUGGUUUUCAUGUUUUCCAUUGACAGUCUCACUAAAGGAUAGUUCUUCCAAAUGGAAAGGGGAGGGUGGAGGUAGAGUGCUGCUGUAGGGCAGAAUACCCCACCAGCAGCUGCUGGGGCCCCCAGCCCAGUAAUAACAGGGGUUGCAUCUCCCAAAUGUAAUUCACUGAUCCACUGAUCUCUGGAGUCCUGUGUUGGGACGAAUCCCAAGGCCACAUCAGAUCACACAGGAGAAGAUGUUAUGAUCUAUUAUUACUGGUGGCAGCCAAGUUGGAGAGGGAAGGACUAACCACUUGCAUAACAGGUAAUUGCUUAAACUAGUAUUUUCAAACAAAUGCAGAAAAAUUAGUAUGACAUCUGGGCAUCUGUCCUUUUACUGCCAAAAAUGUAGAUGUACAAUGCAUUGCUCAUAACAAUAGGCCAGUGCACAUAAAUUGCAAGUAGUAAGGAAUAUUAAUAUAACUGACUGAAUUUUCCCAUUUUUACCUAGACAGUGAAUGCAAUGGUGAUACAGCUUUGAUGCCCCUGCACUGGGCUAAGCAACAAAAUCAGAAAAGAAAGUGACCUCUAAAAUUUGUCUUUCAGAUGACCUGGUGCUUGACUGUGCUCCUUUUUAUUAUCUGAAACCCCAGAAAAAGUGGUCUAAAGAAGCCAGCCAGGGCUACACAAACCAAGGCUGGAACUUAGCAAAACCUGGCGUUUUCCAACCAAAAGAAUUCUAUUUGAACUCUGUGUGUGUAGUAGAGGAUACAGGAAAAAGAAAGGUCCUAUUCAGUGAUAAUCUCAGGAAAUUCAUGCAAUGAUCAGCAAUCAGAGGAAAGGAACAGGCCACAAAACUGUAAGCAAAGUUUCAUGGUUCAAUAUUAGUCCACGGAAGACAAUGAGCAGGAAUAGUAAGAGAGAAAGCUGAUUGCAGGCUUUUCAGGUUUUAAGUCUCCAAGUCUCUUGGUAUGCCUGAGCUUGUUAGAAAUAGAAGGCAGGAAGUUCUCGUACCAUGAUUUUCAGCUCCAUCAGGUCAUUUAACGUCUUCUCUACCAUCAGA